CUUGUCAUAAAACCAAUGCAUAAGAUACAACUGCAUCCAAUGUAUUCCAGGGAAAGAUUCUCUGCAGAUGACUCAAGGAAAGCCACAGGAGCAACAGGGAAACUGAAAGAACAAAUAUCACAGUUGAUUCAGAAGGGCAGCCCCACAUUUUUAAGUGAUACCCAACCAUUGUGAACAAGCUCUGUCAACACCAUCUGCUCCACAAAGGAAAGUUGCUGAUUAUUGCAUCUCUAAGUGGAGUCGGUUCUCU
rnacentral:lncRNA from 1 species